rnacentral:lncRNA from 1 species
CAGCGCUCUUCGCUUGCGGUCCAUUGCCCGCUUAUUUUUCCCUCCGUCUUCUUGGAGGUCGGUCGGCGAGCGAGCGUUUGGCUCCCAGGGCUUCUAGUGCUGCUCCUUUUUUUUCUCUCUUCUUGGCCUUCUUCUCUUUCAUCUUCUCCCACCCCUAUUCCACGAUAUCUUGGUCACGAACCAAGCAUAAUCUUCUUGGCUCUGGGUGAGUUCGUAAGGGCAUUCUUGCUACGUUGGUCUUUGUUAAAACCAACUCCCAUCUCUCCUCCUCUCCUCUGCCUGUCUUCUCUCUUCUUGAAUGGUAGGCGAGGCAGCUCUGGAGGGUCUGCUAUCCGCAGACAACCGAUCUGCAGCUAUCUCGAGACGGAAAUGUCGCCGGCCGGAGGAGCAGAGAGGGGAGGAUCCUUGGGUCCAUCGAUUCAAGAAUUCACCCAAGACUCCCGGUUUGCGUCUCCUAGUAUUAUCUUUCUUCUUGCUCUUCCAGAUGGGUAAAGGUCACGAUGUUUUGUCUCUUGCUGUCUUCUCUUUUGUUAAGUUUUUUUUUUUUUUUAUUGCUUGAGGCUGUGAUGAUUCCGGGCACAGGAUUAAUGACAUUGUGAAGUGGAAAAAGAUUAAUCCCGAUUAAUCUCAAACGGCAAAGCCAUCUUGGAUGGCCUGCUGCUAUUUGGCAGGCAACCGUUUGCUGCCGAUUUGAUUGAGUUGUAGGGAAUAUUCAAAGCAGCGGCACAAUGUUGGACUCAGCGGUGA